CGAGGUGUAGCGCAGCCCGGUAGCGUACUUGCAUGGGGUGCAAGUGGUCGCUGGUUCGAAUCCAGUCACCUCGA
rnacentral:tRNA from 1 species